GUUCCUUUAGGACCCUAUAGCAGAGGUUCUGGGGGUUCAGGCCUUUAGGACCCUUUAGCAGAGGUUCUGGAGGUUCCUUUAGGACCCUUUAGCAGAGGUUCUGGAGGUUCAGGCCUUUAGGACCCUUUAGCAGAGGUUCUGGAGGUUCAGGCCUUUAGGACCCUUAAGCAGAGGUUCUGGGGGUUCAGGCCUUUAGGACCCUUUAGCAGAGGUUCUGGGGGUUCCUUUAGGACCCUUUAGCAGAGGUUCUGGGGGUUCAGGCCUUUAGGACCCCCCUCACUCCUUUGUGAUGCUGAAAAGGAGCCACAAAUAUAAAUAAUGUAUUUAUUUUCUUUCUAUGUUUUGUUACAUUAAUUUGGAUC
ensembl:lncRNA